UACGUAGGGCGCAAGCGUUAUCCGGAUUUAUUGGGCGUAAAGAGCUCGUAGGCGGUUUGUCGCGUCUGCCGUGAAAGUCCGGGGCUCAACUCCGGAUCUGCGGUGGGUACGGGCAGACUAGAGUGAUGUAGGGGAGACUGGAAUUCCUGGUGUAGCGGUGAAAUGCGCAGAUAUCAGGAGGAACACCGGUGGCGAAGGCGGGUCUCUGGGCCGAUACUGACGCUGAGGAGCGAAAGCGUGGGGAGCGAACAGG
rnacentral:rRNA from 1 species